rnacentral:rRNA from 1 species
UACAGAGGCCUCAAGCGUUAAUCGGAAUCACUGGGCUUAAAGGGUGCGUAGGCGGAGCCACAAGUGCUUUGUGAAAUCCCCUGGCUUAACCAGGGAACUGCUUGGCAGACUGUGGUUCUUGAGGUCGGUAGGGGCUGCUGGAACUCUAGGUGGAGCGGUGAAAUGCGUAGAUAUCUAGAGGAACGCCAAAGGUGAAGACAGGCAGCUGGGCCGAAACUGACGCUGAGGCACGAAAGCGUGGGGAG